rnacentral:rRNA from 1 species
CCUACGGGAGGCAGCAGUGGGGAAUAUUGCACAAUGGGCGAAAGUCUGACCGAGCAACGCCGCGCGAGUGAAGAAGGUUUUCGGAUCGUAAAACUGUCUUGUUAGAGAAGAACAAGGAUGAGAGUAACUCUUCAUCCCUUGACGGUAUCUAACCAGAAAGCCCCGGCUAACUACGUGCCAGCAGCCGCGGUAAU